GGGUAAACAGCAGCCUGGGAACCUCCCAGAGGCACGAGGUUCAGGACUGCAGCCUCAGCUCAUCUCAGCGAGUGGCUCCAAAGUCAAGCCAGCCGUUUGAGAUCCGGGGAGGGUGGCCCCCUUCCAAGAUGCCACUCCUUUGAGUCCUGACGAUGGGACGCGGCAGCUGCAGAGGUCUUGCUUAGCAUGUCCUGGAGGGAACAGAGAAACAGGCUCUGGACCACCUCUUGUGUGAGGUUGGGGACAGAGCAUCCUGCAUCCGGCAGUUGCUUGAGGGACACAGGCUGAUGCAGCCGCGUUCAAUCUAGCCCGCUAGACAGGGGCUUGGAUCUGAACGGAUUAAAAGAAGCCGAUGGAAAGGGUGACUGAGCCCUCGAACUUUCUACCAAAAAAAAAAAAAAGGGAAAAAGAUGAUUCUGAACCACAGAGCUGCAAAAAAGUCCAAUGUGAAGAGAAGGAUGUCAAUCCUUAGGCAAUUUUUUUGGUGGAAAAAAAUAUGGAAAGUAAAAGAAAAACAUCUUUCUGUGUCAUUCAUCCCCUCUAAGGAUCAGAGCGGAGUUACCACACUUUGGUAAGUUAAGAUGAAAUCAGCUUACUUUCCAUUUUUAUCAUUUUAGACUUAUUUUUCAAGAUGAAGUUCUCAUCAAACCACAUUCCAGGAGUCAGAACUCAGUCACGUGGCCACACCCAACUGCCCAGAAGCCUGGGGACUCCAGGACAGCACUGUCCCCAGAGUGGGCACUUGGGGCUGUGAGCUCCGGCAGCCAUCGGCUCGCGCUCCUGCUCUCUCCUCCUCCAGCCGCUGGCUCCUGCUCUUGUUGGUCUCUGCGUCGCGUGUCCCCUGUCAGCAGGGAACCCUUGCCUCUGGCUACCACUAGAGUCAGUUUACCACCUUGCUGUUCUCUGCUUUCCAGAAGCGUGAGCGUCAGAAAUGUCCUUUGGAAUGUCAUGUCAACUACUGAGGAACUAUGGGGAAUUAAGCAAAUCUGAUUAAACGGACCAGCCAGCACCUCCCCAGGGACAGAUGUGUACGACUAGGACCCUUCUGAGUGUGCCGAGUAAGUGCACUUACUCAGACUCGCUGUGUUCGGGGCGUACAGCCUGCCAGGGAACAGGAGUGCCAGGCCCUGUCCUUGGGAAACUUCCAGCGCAGGUGGCAAGAGUGGGAAGUGAUCUUCGGUCAGUCUCCAUGUCACAAUGUGCCAGACAGUCAAACCUCUGGCGAAUUCUGUUCCCAUGUGCUUGCUGGAUGAUACGGAAAUGGACUGCAACUUCACCUGGCCACAGGUGUCCCUGUGCCCCCUGGCAUCUCCAGGAGCUGCCCCGGCCUCUGUCCCUUCCUGCACGCACCCCUCUACUGCAGCACGGAGCCCUUGCUGUCCCCUCCACCCGGAAGGCGAAUUCUCUUUCUCCAGCUCACUGCUUGGCUGUUCAGGUCUCAUCUUAAAAUAUCACCUUCUCCGAGCUGCCUUCCCUGAACACCUGAGCCAUCGACUGUCCCUGUGAUCAUUCUUGGUGGCAGCACCUUGUUAAUUUUUGGUGGCCUAGUGGUUACAUUCGGGGCACUCCUCUUUAGCGCCCAGGUUCAGUUCCCGGAUGUGGACCUACACCGCUUUGUUAGCGGCCCUGCUGUGCUGGUGGCCCACAUACUAAGGAAAAAGAGGAAGGCUGGCACAGAUGUUAGCUCAGGGUGAAUCUUCCUCAGCAAAAAAAUUAAAAAAUGAACUCACAGCGUUUGCUUCCUGAUGUGCUCAGUGCCCCGCCUGCCCCCCCAUCAGACUGGGCGCCCCAGGGUGGGCUGUCUUUCUCAUGGCGGAUUCUGAGGUCUAGCCCAGGGCUGGGGACACCGCGGGCGCUUGAUCAAUCUUGACCUUAUGAACACGCUUUCAAGUGGUGCCCUCAGUUUAGGAGG
ensembl:lncRNA